rnacentral:rRNA from 1 species
UACGUAGGGUCCGAGCGUUGUCCGGAAUUACUGGGCGUAAAGAGCUCGUAGGUGGUUUGUCGCGUUGUUCGUGAAAACUCACAGCUCAACUGUGGGCGUGCGGGCGAUACGGGCAGACUGGAGUACUGCAGGGGAGACUGGAAUUCCUGGUGUAGCGGUGAAAUGCGCAGAUAUCAGGAGGAACACCGGUGGCGAAGGCGGGUCUCUGGGCAACAACUGACGCUGGAGGAGCGAAAUGCGUGGGGAGCGAACAGG